rnacentral:rRNA from 1 species
CCUACGGGAGUCAGCAGUGAGGAAUAUUGGUCAAUGGGCGAGAGCCUGAACCAGCGAAGCAGCGUGAAUGAUGACUGCUCUACGGGUGGUCAACUUCUUUUAUAAGGGAAUAAAGUGAGGCACGUGUGCCUUUUUGUAUGUAUUUUAUGAAUACGGAUCGGCUAACUCCGUGCCAGCAGCCGCGGUAAUACGGAGGAUCCGAGCGUUAUCCGGAUUUAUUGGGUUUAACGGGAGCGUAGACGGGUGGUUAAGUCAGUUGUGAAAGUCUGCGGCUCAACCGUGAAAUUGCAAUUGAGACUGGCAGCCUUGAGUACAGUUGAGGUAGGCGGAAUUCGUGGUGUAGCGGUGAAAUGCUUAGAUAUCACGAAGAACUCCGAUUGCGAAGGCAGCCUACUAAACUGCCACUGACAUUGAUGCUCGAAAGUGUGGGUAUCAAACAGGAUUAGAUACCCUAGUAGUC